rnacentral:rRNA from 1 species
CUUUUAGGGUCGUAGUUUGUUUACUAGAUCAGAAAGCGGGAUAAGGUUAAUCCAGAGUGCUUAGCUUUGAGAGGAAUUUCGCCAGGAGAAAAAUCUUGGAGAAUAAUUUGGGGGGAAAGACUGGGGCCAGCCGCCGGGGUAACACCAGCGCCACGAGUGGGGAUCCUGAUUAUUUGGCUAAAAGGGCCCGUAGCUGGUUUAGUAAAUCUCUUGUGAAACCGUGGGGCUCACCCCAACGGCGUGCGGGGGAGUCUGCUAGAUUUGGGCCGGGGGGAGUCUAGGUUUUCCGGGGGGGGCGGGAAAAUGUUAUAAUCCCUUGGAGGCCACUUGUGGGAAGGUGUUUGAUUGGAACGGUUCGGACAAUGAGGGACAAAAGCCGGGGGAGCAAACCGAAUAAAAAACCCGAGUGGCCCUGGCUGUAAACCCUCCGACCUGGGGUUGGCACUUCCCCGCGAAGUUGCGGGGUCGAGGCGAGGGUGUUUACCUCCCCGCCUGGGAAGUUGGUCCCAAGACUAAAAUUUAAGGGAUUGGGGGGGAAAGGGCCAUUCCCGGCCCGAAAAUUCAAUUUCCCCUAUAAGGGGUCUAUUAAAUUUCCCGGGCGGCGUUUUAAAA